AUGCACGAAUGCGCCCUCCCUCCACCUGAUCCAAAAAUUCAUUCAGAGUGCAACAAUCUUCAGGAGCACCGCUGGGUGUGCCCGUGCGGGACGCGGGCGGUCGCGGCGUGGUCGUCGGGGUGGCAGCAGGGUGCUCGACACCGGCGUGUGGCCCUAGAGCCCAAGCCGCCGGUGCUCGAUGACCGCUGGAUGCCGCCGGUGCUCGAUGACCGCUGGAUGCCGCCGGUGCCCAAGCGGUGGCUGGGCUACCAACUUGGUCGCUACUCUGAUCUGCACUUCCCGGUUCCCGGAUUCAUUGUCACGGCUAAUCGCAUUGAGC
rnacentral:rRNA from 1 species